AAAGUCGUAACAAGGUCUCCGUAGGUGAACCUGCGGAGGGAUCAUUACCGAGUGACAGGCCUCCGGGCCUGACCUCCAACCCUUUGUGAACACAACCUGGUUGCCUCGGGGGCGCCCCGGCCUUCCCGGCCCCGGCCCCCCGGUGGACCCCUCAACACUGCAUCUUUGCGUCGGAGCGAAUAGCGAAUCAAAUCAAAACUUUUAACAACGGAUCUCUUGGUUCUG
rnacentral:misc_RNA from 1 species